rnacentral:rRNA from 1 species
UGGGCAAUAUUGGACAAUGGGCGAAAGCCUGAUCCAGCCAUGCCGCGUGUGUGAAGAAGGUCUUCGGAUUGUAAAGCACUUUAAGUUGGGAGGAAGGGUUGUAGAUUAAUACUCUGCAAUUUUGACGUUACCGACAGAAUAAGCACCGGCUAACUCUGUG